rnacentral:misc_RNA from 1 species
GCUGCUCAGGAAUAUCAAGCCUUUCAUGAGAUUGUCAGUAACCUCCAGAAUUCUAGAGCUGGUAAAGACAAAUGGACCUACCCGUGGGGCAACUCCACUUUAGCUCAUCCAAGUUCUAUAAUCUUACUUUCCAGUCAAUUCAGCCCCCUGCAGCCUUUAAUUGGAUAUGGCAGUCCAAGGUCGGUAAGAAAUUCAAGAUCUUUGUGUGCCUGGUCUUCAGAGAUAGAAUUAACUCAAAGAACAUCCUCAGAAGAAAGGGUUUCUUGGCAUCUGACAGUAACUUUGACUGCACUAUGUGUGACCUGCACUGUGAGGAGGCGACUUAUCAUCUACUGUUUUGCUGUCCUUUCAGUACGGGAUGCUGGAAUUAUGUGGGUUUCCAAUGGAAUCAUGAUCUUGAUUUCUUCUCGAUGAUUGAAGCUGCCAAGGGCGCCUUUGGUCAUAGCUUUUUCAUGGAAAUUUUGGCCCUGGUGGUAUGGUGCAUAUGGAAGUAGAGGAAUGAUUUUAUCUUCAGGAAUGAGGCUCCCUCUUUUUCUUCUGGGCGAUGCUGCUUCAAAGAUAUGUUGAAGUUGUAAAUGCUGAGAUUUAAUCCCUCUCUGGUCUAGUUGGUUUUGCUUGCCCUCCGGGCAUUGUACUUUGGUCCUCUUGGACCUUUUUCCCUCUCUUAAUAUAAUAACGUGCAGUUCUCCUGCGCGUUCGAGAAAAAAAUACCUCUCUUAAGUCUAGAGUGUUGCUUUGGCUAAAUUCUCGAUAGCUACCUCUCUGUUUUCUUUGACUCCGCUUGAAACCCUUUUUUUCUUAAGUUUUAAUAAAAGCGUGCUGUAGGGGUUUCCCCUACAGCCUUUCCCCCUCAAAAAAAGAAAGCAUCAUUUUUGAAGAUUUUCACUUGAUCCUACAUCUACAAAUCUGAUAGCAUUUGAUGUUUGGCUGCUUAUCCUCUUUUUGUGUGCAGGUUUUUUGGAAUUUAAGGAUGUUGAGAUCCAGUGUCCAC